rnacentral:rRNA from 1 species
GCAUAAUCAUUUGCUUUUUAAUUGGAGGCUGGGAUGAAUGAUAUCUACUUAUUUAGAUUGUUUUAUUAAUAUAACCUUAAAUUAAGUUUUAAAUUAAAAUGUUUAAAUAAAUUUAAGGGAAGAGAAGACCCUAGAAGUUACUAUUAAUAUGAUAGGUUACUGGGGUAGUAAGAGUUAAUUAUAAUUAUAUUUGGUGAAGCUUAAAUUUGUUAAAUUACUCUAGGGUUAACAGCAUAAUUAAUUUUUAUAGUCCAUAUUGAGAAAUUAGAUUAUGACC